AGUAAGGUCAGCUAAAUAAGCUUUCGGGCCCAUACCCCGGACAUGUUGGUUAGAAUCCUUCCCUUACUA
rnacentral:tRNA from 1 species